rfam:Brugia malayi, FR3, WGS project CAPY01000000 data, contig: ctg1510480
GGUUUAAUUACCCAAGUUUGAGGUAAUUGAAUGUUUCGGCCCAGAGUUUAGGCUACUGUGGCUUGAAGUAAAAUUUUGGAACGUCCUGCAUAUUUUUGUGGGACAAU